CACGUAGGGUGCGAGCGUUGUCCGGAAUUAUUGGGCGUAAAGAGCUCGUAGGCGGUGUGUCGCGUCGGCCGUGAAAACCUGCAGCUUAACUGUGGGCUUGCGGUCGAUACGGACAUCACUGGAGUUCGGCAGGGGAGACUGGAACUCCUGGUGUAGCGGUGAAAUGCGCAGAUAUCAGGAGGAACACCGGUGGCGAAGGCGGGUCUCUGGGCCGAUACUGACGCUGAGGAGCGAAAGCGUGGGGAGCGAACAGG
rnacentral:rRNA from 1 species